AUGACGACCAGGCCUGCAGUCUUCUGUGCAA
rnacentral:piRNA from 1 species